rnacentral:lncRNA from 1 species
UUUUUUUCGAGUUUUGGUCCUUUGAUGUUUGUAAGCCACAAGGGUUCUAACUAAAUUUGAAGUUGAGUUGGAUUGUAUAUGAUUUUAAACGUAAGUGUUUUUAGCAAUUUUUGCUUUGACAAUAUUUGAACACAUCUGCCACCACCGUUCGUCGUGUCCCAUCCCCCCAUACCCUCUGCCUUUGUAGCCUGCCACCAAACACCUGCAAACAAGAAAAGAAGGGACAAAAACAACAGUAUAGAGCAAUAACACAAUCGGCUAUAAAAGCCGAAGCAAAUGUAACUUCUUUUUCUUCUGAAUACACGAAUAUUUGAAAUAACAAAAGAACAAGUUAAAAGGUGAUUUUUUUUCUCUGGAUCCAUUUCUCAUUUCUUUUUUUUUUUUUUUACAUAUAUAAAAUAAAUAGAUUAAAAAAGGGAAAAGAAAGUGUACCUGAAUCGCCCGGCCAGUGCCGUCGCCGAAGUCCUCCUUCGGGUCACCGAAAUCGGACUAGGAGGGUGGCGUUUGGGGUUCCGCUCCAUAGUCCUGAGGCCACGAAAGUUGGGCCUUCAGUUGGUCCCUGAAACGGGGUUGAAAAACCGACCGUAGGGAGCCUCUGACCACCGCACACGGCGGGGCCGAUGGUGGUUCGUUCGGCCAAGGAAAAGGGAGCAGAAUGUUUUUUUUCUUUUCUCUGAGAUUUUUUUUUAAAGCAG